rnacentral:sRNA from 1 species
AAAGAGCGCGGGGGCACAAACAGACAUAUCGUGCGAGAGCGGAUGCCAAUUCGCGACUGAAACCCUGA